GCCACACCCCCAGCCCUAUUUUUGAAUUUUAUUUAGAGACAGGGUCUCACUGAGUGUGUAACACCUUGCCUUUGCUGAUCCUGGCUUUGAACUUGUGAUUCUCCUGUCUCAGCCUCCCAGCUGCUGGUAUUUCAGAAUUGCUCCACCGUGCCUAGGUGAUUAAUUGAUUUUUGACAAAGGUGCCAACCAUAUGAUAGGAAAAGGAAAAUCUCUUUUAAAAAUGGUGUGGGAAACUGGAUAUCCACAUGUAGAAAAUGAAACUGGACUCUUCUCUUGCACUGUAUACAAAAAAUCAGUUGCAAAUGGAUUAAACAGACCUAAGAAUGUAAAACUACUAGAAGAAAACAUGGGGGUUGGAGGAAUACUUGACCUUGGUCUAGGCAAACAGACAACAAAAGCAAAACUAGACAAGUGAGAUUACACCAAAAUAAAAAGUUUCGGUACAAUAAAGAAAGCAAUCAACAGAAUGAAGUAACAACUCAUGGCAAAUUAUUUUGAAUGGGAGAAAAUAUUUACAAGCCAUAUAUCUCAUAAGGGGUUAAUAUAUAAAAUAUUCAAGGAACUCAAACAAUUCUACAGAAAGAAAGCAAAUAAUUUGAUUAAAUAAUGGGCAAAGGGCCUGAAUAGACAUUCCUCAAAAGAGGACAUACCAAUGGCCAACUCGGAGUUGAAGAAUGCUCAGUAUUGCUAAAUCAUUAGAUAAUGCCUAAUUAGAUAUUGUAUUAUUUAAGCACAAUAAGAUACCUCACAUCUGUCAAAAUGACUUAUCAAAAAGACAAACAAUAACAAGUGUCAGAGAGGAUAUGGAGGAAAGGGAACACUUGUACAUCGGUGGUGGGUACAUAAGUUAGUCCAGCCAUUAUGGAAACUGUGGAAGUUCCUCAAGAAACCAAACAGUUUCCACAUGAUCCAGUCAUUCCACUCUGGGCAUCUACAUGGUGACGAGACACGCACACCCCAUGUACACUGUAGCACUAGUCAUAGUGGCCAAGUUAUGGAAUCAAGACUAAGCAUUCGUCGAGAGACGAAUGGGUAAAGAAAACGUGGUCUAGAAGCACCGUGGAGUACUUCAGCCUUCAGGAAGAAGUUCAGGGACUUGUGGCAAUGUGGAUGGAAACGGAGAAAAUAAGGCCACAUGAACUAAGCCAGCUCAGAAAGACAGAUCCCACACAUCCUCCCCUACAGGCAGGAUCUAAUACCAUGUGACCCAGAGAGGCCGAGAUCGGAGGUUACUAUCUGGGGUGGGGAGUGGGGAGAUGCCAGCUAAUGGGCACAAAGCCUCAGACAGGAGGGAGCAGGGAGGCUUUUUCUUUGUGUAUAUGGCACAAUGGGAUGGAAACGGUAAAUGAUUCUGAAUUGUACCUUUCAAAAUUACUCAGCAUAUAUUUCAAAUGUUCUCUCCAUAAAAAAAUAAGGAUUUGAGAUGGAA